CCUGUGCAUGCUCAUAAUUUUGUGUGUUAUUAAGUUCAUCAUGUAUUAUAUGUG
rnacentral:antisense_RNA from 1 species